AUGCCGGCGCCCUCAGUCGGCCGGGAAGGAAAGAAGCACGCGUUGCCCUCGCUCUGCCUGCCGGGCCACGCCCACGCAUGCAUGAAUACUCGAGGAGAGAGGAGAGAGGGCUACGACCCGGACUCCUCCUCCGCUAGCCCAUGUCAGAUUGCACGUGGUCGUUUUGUACGACGGCCGGACGACUCCUCCGCUAGCCAUGUCAGACUCCGAGUCGCUCGCGGUCGCGGCACAGGAGCUUCAUCAUAUUCAUAUCAGUACAUAUACCCCGGCGAGGAAGGGGUGAUGAAGCAAGAAUUCAACCCAUCAAUAUUCGAUCGGGACAGCAGGGGGAGGGAGCGAGCGAUGGCGUGGAAGCGCUACCACAGCUCCUCGAUGCAUCCUCCUUCCAUCCCCGCUCGCCGUCGUCCCGAAUCUAGCCCCGACGACGCCCUCCCUCCUCCGUGGGUCCUACUCGACGACCGCGCAUACCUCGCCGGCGAAUCCAACCACUCCACGGCCGUCUCCCACACAAGGCACGGCGACCAGAUCCAAGCCACCUUCUUCCUCGCCGACCCGCCGCUCGUCUCCUACUUCGCCGUCUCCUGCGCCGCCGAGCUUGGCUGCGAGCCCAGGAUCCUCUACACGGAGGCCAACCUCGUCCUCCUCGUCUCGGUGCCCGGCGACCCCCGCAACGCCAUCGACCCCCGGAAGAACGACUUCUACGUCUACGACGCCGGCCCUCCCAAGGCCACACUGACGCUGCUUCCGCACCCCCCGCCCGACUUGUUCCCCUUCCCUCGGGACAGAUGCUACUACUUCCAUGACUGCCAGGUAGGACUCCUGCGCCACCGCAGGAACUCCGACGACGGCGGCGGCGGCGGCUUUUAUCUUGGCCAGCACCGUCCCAGAGCCUAUGACGCCUACAUCGUCGCCGCGCUCUGUACACGGCUAACCUUCCCGGAGACGUUAGGCCUUUACACCUACGUCUCCGACACCGAGGUGUGGAGCAGCAAACCAGCCUCAUUCCCAGACGGCGGCAAACUGCCCCGAGCCGCCCUUCGAUGUGACAAGGUUAUCACCAUCGGAGGAGAAGCCGGCACCAUGGCCUGGGUCGAUCUCAUGCGGGGUAUCAUCCUAUGUGAUGUGCUCCCACUCGACGACGACGCCAAGACGCUUGGCUACAUCCCUCUGCCGGACCCCAUCCGGCCAGACGACACCAUCGACGAAUCGGGAGGCAUGUACCGGGACGUCGCCGUCGUCGGCAGCCGCAUCAAGUAUGCUGAGGUGAAGAUGCACGUCAGGCCGGGCUCGGCCGGCCCGAAAGGCUCCUUCACCAUCGAUGGCUGGACCGCCGUCGUAUGGAGCAGGCCGGCCAAUUCCUUCAAGGAGUCGACCACCUGGCGCAAGGACCAUGAGGUCCACGCUCACGAGGUCUCUUUCGUUGACGGCAAAAACAAGACGGCGCCAGGCUUUGAGUUGCUCCCGGCUGUGGUGGAUCACCAAGGAAACCCGCAGCCGACCUUGGUGGGGAUCCACGUUGGCCAUCCCAAGCUCAGCCUGCACGUCGGUGACAACACCCUUUACUUGAUGGCCAAGCUCAACCGCUGGUACGACAAAGCAUGGGUCAUCGCUGUCGACAUGAAGAACAAGAGGCUGCGGGGAGUGGCCGACUUUGGUGGAGCACCAAGGUGCAUGGCGUUUCUCCAUGCCUAUAGGCAAAGCAGGAUCUCGGAGCAUCUCAAUGUCUCCCAACCCCAAGAUAGUGCUGCCCAGCGGAAUGCUGGUACAAAGAGUCACCUGAAACGACCAGGGAUGCUACUGCUACAUGGAAUCUCUCACAAGAAGCCUGAGAUCUCUCUGCAUCACUGUCCCAGUGUGGACAAAACCCAAGGGCGAUGCGACCCAUGUUUUUCGGACAAACCCGGGCCAAGGUCUGAUCAUGGUGGAGGUGACAUCUCCUGCUGUGAUCGUGGUGACCACCUGGGCAGCCACCUGAAGCGCCAAAUGCAUAUGCUUCAAGUGGAGAGCUAA
rnacentral:rRNA from 1 species